ensembl:lncRNA
CCUGAACUGAGUUUUAACAGCUUCACCCACCUAUUUGAAUCUGUAGUCCUCUGGGUAGGAAUCCAGAAGCUGGACAGAUUCCCAGAGAGGAGCUGUGACAUCAGAGGACACCAUGCUAUCAGACUGUCUUCACAACGAGCCAGGCCAGCCUUGGGAAGGGCCCCCAAUGCACAGCUCUACCUGCAAAAAGUGAAACUGCCCCUUUAUCUCAGGCUUACCCAAACUAGAUGUUUAAAAAAUCUGUUAUAUAAGCAAUUAAAAUAUGCUGUCUCAAUUAUAAAUAAAAUAAGGAAACAGAUCAUGUCUCUCUUCCUUGUUGUUGUUGUUGUUUAGUCAUUGCUGUUGUUAGUCAUUAAGCCACGUAC